GACGAACGCUGGCGGCGUGCCUAAUACAUGCAAGUAGAACGCACAGUUUAUACCGUAGCUUGCUACACCAUAGACUGUGAGUUGCGAACGGGUGAGUAACGCGUAGGUAACCUGCCUGGUAGCGGGGGAUAACUAUUGGAAACGAUAGCUAAUACCGCAUAAUAUUGAUUAUUGCAUGAUAAUUGAUUGAAAGAUGCUAUUGCAUCACUACCAGAUGGACCUGCGUUGUAUUAGCUAGUAGGUGAGGUAACGGCUCACCUAGGCGACGAUACAUAGCCGACCUGAGAGGGUGAUCGGCCACACUGGGACUGAGACACGGCCCAGACUCCUACGGGAGGCAGCAGGAGGGAAUCUUCGGCAAUGGACGAAAGUCUGACCGAGCAACGCCGCGGGAGUGAAGAAGGGUUUCGGAUCGUAGAGCUCUGUUGUAAGAGAAGAACGGGUGUGAGAGUGGAAAGUUCACACUGUGACGGUAUCUUACCAGAAAGGGACGGCUAACUACGUG
rnacentral:rRNA from 1 species